UGAAUUUCAACAGAGAUGGCAAGGUAUUU
rnacentral:piRNA from 1 species